UCCCACAGCAUGGAUUGUUCACUCUGCUCCUAUGUGCAGUGGCUUGUGGUUCUACUUCGCUUGAGUUGCCUUUCUCCCCUGGGUUGUCUUCCAGUACAAUGGAAAGAGCUGACUAUGAUAGAAGUCAUCCUGGGGAGCCUGUGAAUUUGAAUAGAGCACACCUAAAUUUUCACCAGGAAAAGUUGAAGUAAAACUACAUUGUAUCCUUCUCUCUGCAACUGAACAUGAAAAAAAAGGUUAUGUUUCAGCCCAGAUAAAGACUAAAUAAACAUGACUGGAGAUUGUAAACAAGAUGGUACAUGGCUUAGACAGGGACAAGGAAUAGGAAGUGGUGACCUAAACAGGCCAAACAAACAUCUGCAGAUCAUCUGCUCAAGUAGUAGUGAAGAGACUUGCCUCAUUUUGUCUUUGGAGGGUUGACAUCAUUCUCACUUCCAGUAUGAAAGAAAUUGAUCUGCUUUCAGACUUUAAAGAGAAUGGAGAAUGGAUUUGGUGGGACCAAAUUCUGUAACUUAAUGCAGACCUGCCUUCUAGCUACGAGGCUGGUAUUUCACAAAGCCAUGUAAACUGCUAUUGCUAAGCAGAAUUAUGAUCUUAUUUGGACACAUCUAACUGCCAUUUUUGUGUGGACAUGGCCUUGGCCGAUAGUGAUUUGAUUUUAGAUGGCGUCUGACAUGAGGCAGAAUGUGAAGAAGGUGAAAUACAAGUAGACUCACAUUGAAUUAGAAGUACCACAUUUCUUUUCUUGUCAGGCCUGUAGUGGUGACCUGCUUGAAGAGGCAGAAAACUCAAAUGGAAGAAAGGUCUGAGAAUUCAAAAGUCUUGGUGAGAAAAUGCCACACUAAAAGAUAAAUGAUCUUUGUGGAUUUUACUCGUCAUGUCCUGUGAACUGUUUUAGACUUAAAUUUGGAAAGAAUAGCCUGAGUAUCCUUGCAUUGCCUUGCCAAAGGGCAUUUUUGUUAAAUAAUUUUAAUGUUAAGGUUAAUUAGAGAAGAAGGCACAGGGAAAUUCAUUUGUGUUGUAAAGAAUAAACUGCUAACUGCAAAUGGCUAAGGCAAGGAAAGCAGAGAACUGCUCUGUAUUAUUCUUAGUUUUUGUUGUUUUUCCUAUAACGAUUUCUGUGUCCUGGGGUUUACAAAAUUAUUCUGUUAUAUCCUGUUUCGUAUUUUCUAGGUCAACAAGAAACACUGUUCUCUCAGGAGUUAUUCAAUUAAAAAAAGUGUUACGUCCAAAGAUGUAGAAGGUCUAUCUUUUCUCCCCUAACCUGAUAGCUUUUAUUUGUGGAUGACAUUCUUUA